rnacentral:rRNA from 1 species
GAUGAACGCUGGCGGCGUGCCUAACACAUGCAAGUCGAACGGAUUAAUGUAGCAAUACAUUAGUUAGUGGCGAACGGGUGAGUAAUAUAUAAGUAAUCUACCUCCUAGUCAGGGAUAACCUUUCGAAAGGAAGGCUAAUACCCGAUAUAAUCCUUUUAACGAUGUUUUAAGGAUGAAAGAUUUAUCGCUGGGAGACGAGCUUAUAUCUGAUUAGCUAGUUGGCGGGGUAACAGCCCACCAAGGCGAUGAU